GGUGGUGGAUACCCCAUCCCUGGAGACAUCCCAGGCCAGGCUGGACGGGGCUCUGAGCAACCUGAGCUGGUGAAGAUGUCCCUGCUUACGGCAGGGGUGGCACAGGAUGGGCUUUGAAGGUUCCUUCCAACCCAAGCUGUUCCAUGACCCAAUAACAUAUAUAAGAAGGACAGACAACAAGGAACCAGAGCAUCUUCUCCAGCCUCACUGAGUGUCAAUGGUGACCAUUCUUGUGGCGUCCAUCGACAGAGACCUGACAGGACCAGUACUGGCCGAAGGUCCUGGGAAAAGAUGGGGAUGUUCUCUGCUUGUUCCUCCACUGUAAUGAAACACAAGAAGAGGCUUUUCUGCUGAAGAAUAAGAAAUCUGCACUAAAUGAAGAGAGGAUGGAAGUAUCUCAGCUGGACCAUGACCCCACGCUAUGCAAUGGGUGUGCUUACAGGCAGCUGGCGGUCGGGGAGUGACUUUGAAGGGAGCGGAGACCUGCACAGCCUCACCUGCUGUCACAGCCAGUGAGCCUCCUGUUCCCAAGGGUAGACCUGAUGUCCCAGGAGGAGGGAGCAGGAAAAGCCCAACUCCAGCUGAACAUCUCAGCGACCAUCGGACUUUCUGCUAUGAUGGAGAAGGGACUUGAUCCAACAACAGUAUUGCUGCUGCUGAUCAGGAAGAAUAAAUGGGAAAGUCUGUCUUCUCUUGUAAAGCUCGAAGGUCAAUAGGAGGGGGAAGAGCAGAAUCCCCCCCGGACCGCCUCCAUCUCAGGGAAGCGACUGAUGAGCCUGCCAGCCUCUGAACAAAUAUUUCUGAUGCAGAGAACUCACUUGUCAACUUGGAGGAGCCCCGAGAGGAAAUUUCCAAAGCAGAUCUGUCAGAGAUAAUGACACCACACAAGAAAGCCCUCCUUAGGAGGAACGUCUUCAGAAAAUGUCAUGUGUUUGAAAAUACGAUGCUUCCGUGUGUUCCUGUUGAUGAGUUAAAAUUCAGGCAACUGUGGCUGAAUUUUUAAUCUGUGAACUGUAACAGAUGAAGCACAAGGAGGCAGUGAUUCAUUUUUUCACCUUCCCUGAUGCUUUCUUGUUCAAACUGAUAUUUCUUACCGGAUCAGAAACCUCUUUUUAGGCCCGAGAUAACUCUGUGUGUUCCGCCUUGUCCAGAUUGCAAACCAGGGAAUUUUUGUGCAUCUGGAUGUUUGUGUAAUUGCCUAACACAGUGAAGCCCCAUCUCAGCUGAAAUCUCUUAGCUCCACUGUUAGAUAAAAAGCAAUUAACAGUAACAAUAACCAGAAACACAUUUAGUGUGAGGACAGGCAGCAAAUGGCAAACAGAUACAUCAACAAAUCUGUUUUUGCCUUGUAAUUUGCUGUUUGCAGUCAGUGGGUCAUUAAUUUUUAUAUGGGUAUCAUGUACUUAUAAGCAGUUUGGGAAUCUUGAAAUUAUUACCAAUGACAGUGGCUUUGAUUACAUUGGCUGCUCUGUGUCAUCUGUGAUCCUUCAGUUUAAGAGUCACCCAAAAAGAUACAGCAGCCAGAAUCGCACCCCAGGGCAGUCCCGGGUACCCCAAGGAACGCAGGCUGCGCCCUGAUUACUCCUCACACUCGUUGAGUCUCUCAAAUAAUGUUUCCUCAAAUUGGGAAUGGGUUUUGAAAGCCAUUUCCCCUCUGAAAUCUCAUCAGCAUGCGCGCUUCGCAGGUGUUGUUCAGCUAGCUCCUCUAAGCAACGGUAUUUUAUCCUGUCAAAUAUGAAAUUGGCUCAGGUCACAAAUUUUGUGCUGAGCUAGCCCAUCUUUGUGGUUUUCGCUAAUUAAAUCUAGGACAGGUAACCAAUAGAUUCUUCAGCUGAACAAGAGUAAUUAUUUUAACCUCUCUUUUCCAGAUGUUUUCUGAUCGUUUUACAUUUUCUGAUUCGUUAGCUUGAGUUUCAGUUCUCUGGGUAAAGAAAAUGUUGGACAACUUAUAUUUUACUUGGCAAAUUGAUUGUUUUAGAUAAAACAAGGUUUACUUUCGGUGUGAAGUCACAGAGGUGCUUGUAGCGUAUCUAUGUGCAAAAUGUGAAUAAUGUUAGCUGGAUUGUUUUUCAAGCUGAAUAACUGCAGUGUUUCAAAAAAGCAAACACAGCCGUGUCAACAACGUGAUUGCCUGUUACCACACUCUGCACUGGAGCACUGCUUUUGUUAUUCAGUUAUUUUCGUUUGGCAUUAGCCUGUGUCUGCAGUUAACCUAUCAGCAAUUACCUGUUUAGUUUUAUUACGUUCUGUUCCCUUCUGUACUCAUUCAGGACUUCAUUUGCUUCCAUCUUGAAGAUAGCUUUAAAUGUUAAGUUUGUUUUUUCCUACCAAACAGAGAAUAGACACCUCUAUUUCAGGUAAGCGUUUUGUGAUGUCUCCCUGGUGUAAGAAGAUGAUUCUGUGCUUGUUGUACCUCAGGUGGGGAAGGCUGCUAAAUGCAAAUCAAACCAGACCUUUUGUGCCUCAUUUAGAGGGGUUUUGCUGGGAUAUUUGUGUAUUUAAUACAAGCUGGGUGUCCUUGUGGAGCAAUCAAUAGCGGCAGGCUGUGCGAAGGGAUUUCGCUGGAGCAGUUCAGCCUGGAAACCUGUGAUGCUGGCACCAACCUUGCCGGUGCUGCCAGGGCCACCUCAUAUGUGUGGGACGUAGAAUCGCAGAGUAGUUCGGGUUGGAAGGGUUGGACCUUCCCAGCUCCCCCAGUGCCACCCCUGCCAUGAGCAGGGACAUCUUCACCAGCUCAGGUUGCUCAGAGCCCCGUCCAGCCUGGCCUGGGAUGUCUCCGGGGAUGGUUCAUCCACCACCUCUCUGGGCAACCUGGGCCAGUGUUUCACCACCUUCAGUGUAAAAAAUUUCUUCCUCCUCUCUAACCUGAAUCUCCCUUGAAUGGUGUGACCUUUGUGAACACUGUCCCCAGCACAGUCCUGCAAGUGGGUGUGCAGAUCCCAGCAAAGAUGUGAGAGGGAUCCGUGCUGGUGGCAAGGGGCUGUCUCUGCUGGUGAAGCUGUGGUCCAAUAAUUCAUCUAAUUAGAGUUUACACACGUCGGAGGGAAAGAAAAGCAGGUGUUUCUAUAUUUUUUCUUUUUUUCCCCCCUUUCUUAUAAAGGGUAAGUGUCUCCUGUGUAAGUUUCCUGACAGCUGAAUUGCGAGCAGACUGCCUGUCUUAUCUCCAUUUGCCCCCUUCUGUGCAAACGCUCCAGUCACUUCCCUGCAAAUUUAAUGUUUUUUCAACUACUGACGUGUUCAUCUUCCCCACUCUGCAAUUAUGUACUGAUGUGAUGAUGUUUUAAGAAAAAUGUUUUGUUUUAAAAGCUGCAACAUCCAAAUUAAAAAAAAAAAGUCGGCUCCCUCCCCAAAUUCUCUCUGAUGCUAAUUAUAGAAAUCUCAGCUCUCCAGCAGAUGCGUCAGUCAACAGAGGGUUUGGCUCUUCUUAGAGGCUGAAGCUUUGGAAAAAUAUACUGAAGAUGGUGCAUACAACUGGGAGAUGUGGCAGGUACGUGCUGGAGGUGAACACUGAGAGUUCGGAAAUGCGAACAGUUUUCAAGGUCUCCGAUUUUAAAUCAUCUAACAGUAAGCUGUCAAGACGUGAUGUUUUCAUAGAGCUGGCACCAGAUGUUAUUUUUCUUUUUCCACCUAAAUUGAGAGAAGCAUAACGAAUAUUCUGGGUUUGCUCUGAAACCAUUACAGGACAAGUUCCUGGACUGUACAUCAGGGUUGCUCCUGCAAUACAAGUGCAGAUCUUCUGUCAAAGUUUCAGCCUGAUGAUGUUUCUGGCCGUUAGGAUGAAACCCCAGACUCUGUACCCAUCACAAGAGAGGGUUAGAAUACGGUUGCAAAUUCAUUCCAGUGCUGAUUUUUAUUAGGGAAUCUUAUUAACAUAAUGCAUUCUCUUCCUGAACAAGAAAGCUAGAGGCAUUUCUUUUUCUUCUAAUGCAUUUUAGAGGUGAUCUGACAUUUUCUAAUGGCUCUCAGGUAUGUAUAAUUCAGCCUGUUCCAUGUCUGCAUUUUCCAAAAUAAGAAUGAAAAAUUGAGUUCCUGCUUUUUUUGGACAAUCAUUACUCUCUGUU